rnacentral:rRNA from 1 species
AACGAACGCUGGCGGCAUGCCUAACACAUGCAAGUCGAACGAGACCUUCGGGUCUAGUGGCGCACGGGUGCGUAACGCGUGGGAACCUGCCCUUAGGUUCGGAAUAACUCCCCGAAAGGGGUGCUAAUACCGGAUAAUGUCUUCGGACCAAAGAUUUAUCGCCUUUGGAUGGGCCCGCGUUGGAUUAGCUAGUUGGUAGGGUAAAAGCCUACCAAGGCGACGAUCCAUAGCUGGUCUGAGAGGAUGAUCAGCCACACUGGGACUGAGACACGGCCCAGACUCCUACGGGAGGCAGCAGUGGGGAAUAGUGGACAAUGGGCGAAAGCAUGAUCCAGCAAUGCCGCGUGAGUGAUGAAGGCCGUAGGGUUGUAAAGCUCUUUUACCCGGGAUGAUAAUGACAGUACCGGGAGAAUAAGCUCCGGCUAACUCCGUG